GGCCUGGUGGUCUAGUAGUAUGAUUCCUGCUUCGGGCAAUGCUCCAGUUCUGCUGGACACCCGUUCGAUCAUUCGAAUAUCAUUGCAGGAGGUCCCGGGUUCAAUUCCCGGCCAGGCCC